rnacentral:rRNA from 1 species
ACUACGGGGGGCAGCAGUGGGGAAUAUUGCACAAUGGGGGGAACCCUGAUGCAGCAACGCCGCGUGGGUGAAGAAGUACUUCGGUAUGUAAAGCCCUGUUAGCAGGGAAGAAAAUGACGGUACCUGACCAAGAAGCCCCGGUUAACUACGUGCCAGCAGCCGCGGUAAUACGUGGGGGGCAAGCGUUAUCCGGAUUUACUGGGUGGAAAGGGAGCGUAGACGGGAAGGCAAGUCUGGAGUGAAAGCGCGUGGCUCAACCACGGGACUGCUGUGGAAACUGGGUUGCUGGAGUGCAGGAGGGGUAAGCGGAAUUCGUAGUGUAGCGGUGAAAUGCGUAGAUAUUAGGAAGAACACCGGUGGCGAAGGCAGCUUACUGGACUGUAACUGACGUUGAGGCUCGAAGGCGUGGGGAGCGAACAGGAUUAGAUACCCGGGUAGUC